UUUUGGAUGGCUUAGUUGGUAGAGCCUCAGACUCUUAAUCUGAGGGUCCGGGGUUCAAGUCCCUGCCCAGGCA